rnacentral:rRNA from 1 species
CUACGGGCCGCAGCAGUGAGGAAUAUUGCACAAUGGAGGAAACUCUGAUGCAGCAACGCCGCGUGGAGGAUGACGCAUUUCGGUGUGUAAACUCCUUUUAUAUGUCAAGAAAAUGACAGUAGCAUAUGAAUAAGCACCGGCUAACUCCGUGCCAGCAGCCGCGGUAAUACGGAGGGUGCAAGCGUUACUCGGAAUCACUGGGCGUAAAGGACGCGUAGGCGGGAUAUCAAGUCAGGUGUGAAAUCCUACAGCUUAACUGUAGAACUGCACUUGAAACUGGUAACCUAGAGUAUGGGAGGGGGAGAUGGAAUUAGUGGUGUAGGUGUAAAAUCCGUAGAUAUCACUAGGAAUACCUAAAGCGAAGGCGAUCUCCUGGAACAUUACUGACGCUAAGGCGUGAAAGCGUGGGGAGCAAACAGGAUUAGAUACCCUCGUAGUC